rnacentral:tRNA from 1 species
GGGAAUGUGACUUUGUGGUAAAGUGCUUGCCUAGCAUUCAUGAAGCCCUGGGUUCAAUUCCUCAGUUCCA